CGGACGUGAGUAACCUGCCUUGGAGUGGGGAAUAACACAGUGAAAACUGUGCUAAUACCGCAUAAUGCAUUUGGGUCGCAUGAUUCUGAAUGCCAAAGAUUUAUCGCUCUGAGAUGGACUCGCGUCUGAUUAGCUGGUUGGCGGGGUAACGGCCUACCAAGGCAACGAUCAGUAGCCGACCUGAGAGGGUGACCGGCCACAUUGGGACUGAGACACGGCCCAG
rnacentral:rRNA from 1 species